GUGGUUGUGGCUCAAUAGUAGAGUGCUUGCCUUGCAUGUAAGAGGCACUGGGUUCGAUCCCCAGCACCAUCU
rfam:Ictidomys tridecemlineatus contig067777, whole genome shotgun sequence.